GUCCUCCGCCACACUGGGAGCAGCGAUGGUGGAGGUAACGUUGUGUGUGAAUGGCUAGUUUUUCGGCCACAGUCCUGCCUCUGGGUCUGUCAGCUGUUGAAGCUCAACUCGAGGACAGAGAGACACGAGCAGGUUUGCAACGUAUGAGAACUUGGUCUGAGUCCGGUUCAUCUCCGCCACGGAUCGCACCAAAAUCAGAGAUGAUCAGCCAGACGUCUGGUUUGGGCCUGAAAGACGUGCCAGACCUGCUGCCAAAGCCUUGGCCUCCACCUCACCCUGCAGACAUGGCCGCAUACACACGCAUAAUCAGGAGCUGCGAUAAUCACGCACAUCUGACAUUAGUGCUUUCAAGAAUGUAAGGAAACCUUCCUCAUUCCUCCAUGCACACAUAUAUGUGCCAGAAGAAUAUCCACACUCUUCAAUGUAGCAGUCUAACUGUCUCUGAAGAUGGCAGACUCGUGGCAUUUUUGUGCUCAGUCACACGGUCCUCCCCAACACAAACAUAAACCUAUGUAUUACUUUUGUCAGUUGUCAGUCAGGCAUUCCCUAUUUUUAAAACGGUAAACACACCUACACACAUUCUCUCAUACACAGUCGCACCCACUGCAGCCCGUGUUAUGCAGCAAGUCUGCCUUCUUAUCUGAGAAAGCCUGCUCAGUUGUGAGGGAAAAAAGAUUAGUCGGGUGAAUUAAAUCUUGACACCUGACGCUACUAGUCUCUCUUUAAAGUUGUUUUCACCACUUCCCCCACACUUAAUGCUAUAGCACCUUCUGAUAAUUGCAUGCUUUGAGCCAAUGCAGUAAUUGCACGCUACAUACCUGUUGAGGGUGUAAGCCCAUCUACUGAACAUGGGGCCCUUCUGUAAGUGGGAGAAAAAGGUGACCAGAUCUGUUACUUGGUAUGGCUCCCUGUUUGUGUGUGUUCACACUUUGUGUUCCCACACUUUCAAAGGAUAACUCAGAGGCAGGUGCUUAUUUAACUAGUGAGCACUUCAAUCAACGUGCAGAUAUGCAAUUUUUAAUGUCAAACAAGCUUGAGGGCCCUGCACCUAGAUGAACUGUCAUCUCAGGGGAGUCAGGAUGGUUUGGUGAAUCAGUGCAGAGUCCCUAAUCCUGCUGGCACUUGAGUGACGCAUGAGUCAGAGCAUGGGCACGUGUGGGCGACUGUGACGUCAGCAGCACUUAUAUUAUGUCGUCCGUAACCUUAAAAACUGAAGAGAUGACGCAGAAAUAAUUUUUUUCUCUCUUUUUUUUUCUUUUUUUGCUAACUUUCUCUCCUCAAUUCAGACCAGCUAUUUCUAAUCUCACUGUCUCAUCAGUGAGUUGUUUGGUCUAACGUUAUAAAUCAGCUAUGACACAUUCACUCUCGCAUGACAUGUUUCCUCUUUGUCAUUUUUAUCGUUAAUUUUAUGGCAGUUUUGUUCAAAUUUCCAUACUUUACAUGGGCUUUUAAGAUUUAUGCUCAACUCUUGGGAGAAAAAAAACUGUCAUUCUAAGACAGGCAAGAUAUAGCAUGAAACAAAUGAAAAAGAAAAACUAAAGCAAUUGAAGCUUGAUUUAAGAGUAUUUACCAGCUUGUUCAAGGGAGAAGCAAAGUGGAAUGAGGAGUGGCUAAAAGUCAACUAAAACUAGUUGGGAAGUGAAUUCCGUCUUAGUGUGAAAGGUAAAGCAGCGACCUAAUGUACCAUGCUGUCAGGUAUUGUUAUUUUCUUUACUGUUUUUCUGAGAUUUCACUUUUUCUAUUGUAUUGUUUGAGCACCAAAUCCCCCCAGUCCAAAAACAAUUCACUCAUCAAAUAAUCUUGAACGUCAAACACAUCUAUUGUACGUACAUCUGUUACCUAAGUCCUUUUCGUAAUUUGGAAAGGGCUGGUCAGUGGCUAGCCCUGAUGACUCACAGCAACAUGGUUCCUGGGUUAAAUGAAGCGUGAAGCUGAUGAGCAUCACUGUCUGUGCCUGCGAGCUGGAACCAGCGACGAGUCCACAUUUAAGAUGGAGACAUCUGAGGUAGACAGUCGUCCCUCUCUAACUUUGAGGAGGAUGAGUCACAGCAAAAGUGUUGAGAAAUAUGUGUAGGUGUAAAAUACCUGCAGAGGCUCAAUUUUCUAGUCACUGUCGCGUGCAAAAUGUUGAGAAAAACCUGGCUCACAGAGGAACUAAGCUUUAGUCAGAGAGAUUGGAUUGAUGACCAACAAAAUAUGGCCAAAAAUGUCCUUAUUUUUACCUGAAAAGAACCCUUUAGAAAAAAGAAAUUGGUUUUUAGAGGAAUUUAGGAUCGUGUAAAUCCAACACUAAGAGAGAGAAAGGUGUCAGUGAUGAGGUUAAAGGAGCAAGUGUUGUUGCAUGUCAGCCUUAAAAAUGUUCAUAAACAAUUUAGUCCACAUAUGGAAACCAUUAAGUAAAUCUGCUGAUGUUUCUAGGGGAGGACGUCCCUUUAAAUGUAUCCACACGUCUCUCCAAAAAAAAGAUCAGUAGAACAAAAAAACACACAGAAAUAAACCUUUGAUUGAUUUUAAACAAUAAAAAACAAGGGGAACAGUCUAUUGUCAAAUUUUAAAAAAGAAAAAAAUGUGUUUCUCUCAUAAAAAGACAAAUGUAUGAUUUAGUUUUACAAAGGUACAUCUAAAAACAAAACUAUUUAAAAAUUUAGCUCUGAAAUCACUUAAACAGGCUUUUAGUCUUUCUGAUUUUAUUGUGGUAUCACUCUUACCAUUUUCCCAUAAUUGUUGUUUUGCUUUUAAUGCUUUUAAAUUUUAUUUGCAGCUUCUGUUUUCAAGUAUUUUUAGAUCUUGCACUCUGUGAAAAACAUGAUGUUUGUCUGUGAAAGAUGCAAUAUAAAUAAAGCUAUACCUCCUUCCAAAUCUUCUGGAACACAAACCAUUUGACGACGGAAACUGUUCACUUUGUCAAAAAGAACGUAUUUUACAUAAUUUCAAGCAUGGUGGAAAAACAACUUUAUUUGAGAUUGUUUUGCAUUUAGAGAAUCUGAAAUUUAUGAAAUCCUCGUGCAAACAUUUAAAUAUAAUUUACUGGAAUAAAUUAUAAAAUAAAUGUGAAAAAACCUAUUGGUCAAACUGCAAUUAAAGGCUAAUUAGAUGUGAAAAUUCUCAAAAAAACAACAACAAAAAUCAAGAUUUUCAGACCAUGAUUCAGUCAAAGUCCAGACCUCAUCUCUUUCAAACGGCGUGACUUUAUGUAAGACGUUGAUAAGAGUACGCCCCAAAAUCUUAAUGGACUGAAGCAAAAAAACUAAAUUCCUUCACAAUGAUAAGGGGCUGAUAGAAUCACACCACUACUGGCUACUUCAGUUUAUUACUACUAAAGGUGGAUCCACAAACUACUGAACUUUGGUGUUAGUUACAGCACCAACAUAUAAACUUUUUUCUUUUUAGCUUCUUUUUGUUGAAAUAUCAAUAGAAAGAUUUGAUCAUUUGGCA
rnacentral:lncRNA from 1 species